rnacentral:tRNA from 1 species
GCCCCCGUAGCUCAAUUGGACAGAGCGUGUGGCUUCGGACCACAAGGCUGUGCGUUCGAAUCGUACCGGGGGCA